AGUCCUAUGGUCUAGUGGUAUGACGUUCGCUUCACAACCGGGUUUAGGAUAAUCUAGUGGAGCGCGAAAGGUCCCGAGUUCGAUCCUCGGUGGGACUA